rnacentral:rRNA from 1 species
UACAGAGGUCUCAAGCGUUGUUCGGAGUUACUGGGCGUAAAGGGUGCGUAGGUGGCUCUAUAAGUAUGGUGUGAAAUCUCCCGGCUUAACUGGGAGGGUGCGCCGUAGACUGUGGGGCUAGAGUGUGGGAGAGGAAAGUGGAAUUCCUGGUGUAGCGGUGAAAUGCGUAGAUAUCAGGAGGAACACCGGUGGCGAAGGCGGGUCUCUGGGCAGUAACUGACGCUGGAGGAGCGAAAGCCGUGGGGAGCGAACAGG